rnacentral:misc_RNA from 1 species
GAAAUGCGAUAAGUAGUGUGAAUUGCAGAAUUCAGUGAAUCAUCGAAUCUUUGAACGCACAUUGCGCCCCUCGGCAUUCCGUGGGGCAUGCCUGUUCGAGCGUCAUCUACACCCUCAAGCUCUGCUUGGUGUUGGGCGUCUGUCCCGCCUCCGCGCGCGGACUCGCCCCAAAUUCAUUGGCAGCGGUUCCUUGCCCCCCUCUUUGCGCAGCACAUUGCCAUUCGAGGCGGCGGCGGCCCGCGUCCAACAAGCUCAACCCCCCCGUCUUUGACCUCGGAUCAGGUAGGGAUACCCGCUGAACUUAAGC